rnacentral:rRNA from 1 species
UACGUAGGGUGCGAGCGUUAAUCGGAAUUACUGGGCGUAAAGCGUGCGCAGGCGGCUUUGCAAGACAGAUGUGGAAUCCCCGGGCUCAACCUGGGAACUGCAUUUGUGACUGCAAGGCCAGAGUACGGCAGAGGGGGAUGGAAUUCCGCGUGUAGCAGUGAAAUGCGUAGAUAUGCGGAGGAACACCAAUGGCGAAGGCAAUCCCCUGGGCCUGUACUGACGCUCAUGCACGAAAGCGUGGGGAGCAAACAGG